AGGAAGCUCAUGCUGAUCCUGGCUUUG
rnacentral:piRNA from 1 species